GAAAUGUUAAAUCUUAAUAUAAUUUUGUAUGAAAAUAAUUGUUAUAUUUAUUUAAGACAUUUGUUAAUCAUACAUGAAUAAGGCUCGUGAAUAAAAUUGUAUAAGCCAUGUUUUUGUUAUAUUUAUCGCUAAUUAAUUACUUUUUAAUGAGAUCUGUAUAAUCUUAGAUUAUUUAUACUCACAACAUGUAAUAAACAUCGGUAAAGGAACAACUUUUGUUAUUUUUAUACUAACUUAUUUUAUACUCUUGCUUGCAAUUUUAAUGUUUGUAAAAAUACAAUUAUUUAUUUAUAAAAAAAUAUUUCUGUAACAUCGACAUUCAUGCAUUUCAUACCAAAAAUCUCAUGUCAAAAUGUAUUCCAUUCCUCGGUUUUAUUAUUAAUUUAGUAUGAAAAAAAAAAAUGUACUUAUGCGACCACAUAUGUAUUGACAUGAUAUAUAAUAAAUAAACCUUUGUGUUAUAAAUGUAUGUUUCAUUAAUUUAAAAUGUGCAAAAUUACAAUUUUCCACCAUAUCCUUUUAUUGCAUUAUGUUCCAAAUCAACUACAUAAAAUAUUAAUUCCUAUUGAAAAAAAUUUUUUCCUUACAGUGUUUAAUUUUGCAAUUAAUUAUUAACUGAAUUAUUAUUGUAUCUACUAUGAAACAUUAAUUUCGCGUUUACUUUGUUCUAAAUAAAUAUAAAUACAAAAUUCUUAUUAAAAACUGGUUACCUGAAAUCUUUCUUAGAAGACGAAAGAGGUGUCUUUAUUAGCACUUUUGUUUUCGUUAUUUAGAACUAAACAUUAUCUUUAAAAGAUCUUGGGUGGAAGAAAAUAUCAAGCGUAAUUGGGAUGAGGUAGUUUUUAUGGAUGACAUUUUCUUUCUCGUACAAAUCCUAGAAUUUUUAGACUCUAGGAUUCUAGAAGACAAGAAAACAACGUAUUUUGCGAAUAAACAGUAGAGUUUAUUGCUGAUUAUGUAUGAUUUAAACUAUAAAUAAUAAAUAAUCUAAGGAAUAAUAACUUAAUUUUUUUACUUUCACGAUUCCUCCAUGUUCAUCUCUGGAAGCAUAUGGAGAAACCGUGUCACCGAUUCGAAAUGAAAAAUAAUCUUUUAAGAUUCACUUAAAAUAAUACGAAACCUUCUCUUUUUUAUACAAUACAAUAAUACAUUACGCGCAAUUAUCAUAUAUAUAUGUACAAUUACAUUUAUAAAACGCAAUAUUAUAUUAUUACAACAUUAUGAAACGAUAUUGUGCUCGAUAUCGUUGAAAUAACAUUAUAUUAAUACAAAAAUUAUUUAACAAAAAAAUCACUUACAAUCGAGUUUCGUCUCUCAACUAAAAGGAUCCUUUAACGAAUGUCGAAUUUUUACAAAAUCAUUUUUACCACCACAACGCAGUUUUACAUUUAUGAUUCUCUUGCGAUACCAAAAUCAAAAAUAUCAUCAUACCUGCCAUUCUUUUUUAUGUAUGCUAAUUUAUUUAUCUUUCCAAUUUAUUUUUGAAACCUUUUCAACGUCGGUUAUUCUAAUGUUAAUUCGUCCUCAUUAGUUAAUUUUGACUUUUUAAAAUUAUCCAAACCAUCAGGAGAUUCUACCAAAGUGCCAUUCACAAACUUGUAUCACGUUGAGAAAGGAUUAUUGAACGUGAGUGUACAUAAAGGUGCAAAGUAGUAUAUAUAAAAUAUGUUUAAACUUCUUGGGAUACCUGAUAAGUGUUUCUCAAAAUUUUCACUGUAAUAUGUCGUAAUUUUCUGUUGGGUUUAUGUGACAUUAAACAAGUAUCCUAUUGCUUUUCAAUGGUAGGGUACAUUACGGAUAUUUAACACCCUGAUGACUCUUACAAUCUUUUAUAAAAAGAAAAAACAAAAUUUAUUUUUAGAAUUAUAUGUGGAAGCCUUUGCAAUGUUCGUUGCAAGAUACUGGACAAAAAAUAAUGACAUAAAAAUUAAUUCAUCAAAUUCAUAAGUCUAUCUACCAUCAAAGUGUUAACUUUUUUCAAUUAAAUCAAUUGUUUUUAAUAAAAAAAUUAAAUAAAUGCCUGGCAGUGAAGGUGUUUACAAAUGAAUCGUACGUAGCAAGGUUCAAGUUUCCAACUUAACCUAACCUGACCUAACCUUUACUAAUACAGUUAAUUCAAAGCUUCUGUUAUACGAAAUUCAAUUACUGUGACAUAAUAAAUAAUUAUUUUGACUAUCAUCAGAAGGCAUAGUACCAAAUUGCAAGUAUUUUAGAAAACAAAGUAAUUUUGUUACGGUAGAAACUUAUACCUUGCUAUUUACAAUAGUAUCUUCCAAAUUAAACAUUAUCCAUCGCGUUUCUUUGUUAGUUAACAAAAGUCCCUCAACAACCUAUGGAGUACAACGAUACUCUUUCAGUAUUAAACAUUUCGAAAUUCUAUUGCUGAUGAAGUAAACGAACGAUUGAUUAUCGAUCAUCCCAUAAAUCAGUCUAGCUUUAUACGUUCUUAGCAGAGUUGGGCAUGAUUUCAAUAAUUCUCUAAUAAAACGAAGUUAUUAAAAUAACUUGGUUUUAUUUCACAUUUUUAUUUGAGAAUCAUUUCAAUAAAAAAGAUUAUGCGAAAAUUAUUCAAGUAAUACCCAACCCUGGUUCUUAGCAACUAUGUAUGCAAUACUAUUUCAACAAUACAGUCUGUAAUGCGUAAAAAUGUAGAAAUUUGAUUGUCAACCGGUUUAGAAAUUGUCCUUUUGUAAUCUAUCUGUUACAGAACCGGAGUCUCUGAAUUUAUGCGCAUUAUUGAUCUAUCAUUUUAUAGAAAAGCAACCAGAAAUAGCACUUCUUUGAAAUGGACAUUUUCCAUGUAACGCCGAAGAAGCCUCCCCACUCUCACUGACUCUUGCCCAGGGCAAGAAUACACGGAGUUCAAACGAUUCCAGUCAAACUUCCCUUGAUUAGUGGUCGAUUCCACGCAGUUUGGACAAUGUGUUUGCCAUUUGUUUGAGUCCUAAAUUAUAGUUCACGAAAUUAUAGAAAUAUUCGCCAAAAAAAUCGGAAACCUUGUAAAGUUGACCACUAAUCAAAGGGAGUUCGGCUAUAAUCGUUUGAGUCCGAUGUACCACGAGCCCGUAACAGUGCCCGCGAGCAAGUACGGGCACAGGUGGGCGCCCACGACCAGCUUACUACUCGAGCAUCCCUGGUCUAGGUAAUUAUCUAAGUCAUUUCAAAACUCAUUCACUGAAGAUUUUUAAACGAACGCAUUAAUUCUAAUUACAAUGAGGAGAGACGAAUAAGACACCCUGCAUGCCGAAUCGAUUAAAUUCCAUAGUGUUCUGCGACGAAAAGUUAAAUAAGGAAUCGCAGUGUUUCUUGUUAACAAUUCAAAUACAAAUGUAAAAUUAUCGAGCUAACCGAUAUCAAAGUUCCAUGAUAUCAUCGCGACAACAUAUUGGCUGAUAAGAGAGUAUUCUUAAUACUUAUGGAUUAAUAUAUCGAUAAAUAUUGCAUUAUUAGAUAAAAUAAGAUUCUUGUACUUUUUAAGAUUCUCAUUCGUUUCGAUGAGAGAAAUAUUAUCCAAAUUGUAAAAAGAUGGAAGACGAUUGGGACGUUUAGAAAUACUUUAUGGACGUAUAAAACUUGCAGGAGUAAACGUGAAUAGAAAUUCACGAAUUGCGAAUAACCCAAUAGGAACGCGCAGUUAUGUACGUAAGUUGUACACGAAGAAUGAGAUACAAAUACAAUAGGAAACGCAUGGAAAGAUAGCGGAUAUAAUGGCAUUCUUAAAAUGAUUGAAUUUCGAUGGUAGCCACACAAUGAGAAUAUUGCGAGGAGAAAUUCGUUAUAGAAAAUAUAGAGAAUACUAUUGAAGACUAGUCGCGAAUAUUGUUUGAACAAAUUGUCAUCAGAAUCAUUAACCUGAAUUAUAUAGAAAAGGGGGUAGUAAUAUCGACCACCAUAAUUCUGAGAUUUACAACAGGGUGUUUUUAGUAAUUGGGACGGGUUAUAUGUUUAAAAAAAAAAAAAUAGAAAAAAAAAUUAAAUAGUAUAAGCAACUAUACUCCAUCCAACGAGGCGAGACAAUAAAGGAGUACAAAUUCACGUGCUCGAAGCAGGACCACCCCACAGUACACAAACCUCGACCGAGACGUUUGAAGAACCGGAAACAUAUUCUGACUCGUCUCGUUGGACGGAUUAUAUACUUUUCUACAAUUGCAACUUUUCUUUAUAAGUGCAACGAUGCAUGUAUAAAAAUGCAAUUACACCCUACUUUUAACUCACAAAGGCUUUCAUGAAAAUGCAAUUUCAUUAAAGAAAAAAAUUCUAUAUACUCUUAAUUAGUGUGAUGUAAUGCAAUACGAUAUCUAUCUUUUUAAAAUAUAGGCGUAUCAAUACUUUUUAAGCCCAUUGUAUAUAUGAUUAUUAUGAAAAUAACUAAAUAAAUUAACUUUCACAACUUACUUUGUUCUAAAAUAAUACUGACCCAUAUUACUCUCCGAUUUCAAGAUUGUUAAUCCUUGACUUUUCUAAAAUAAAAGAAAAAACAGAAAAUUCGUCAUUUCUAUGAAAUUGAUAUACGUCAAAAAAUGAAACUAAUAUUCCAUAUUACUACCACCUUCUCUAUUGUUCAAACUUGAUCACCGAUCUCUGCUACUACGUAAUAUAUCACCAUAAACGCUUCAAUGAUCAUUAAUAAUUAAUGCUUGAUCUGUUAUCGUGCACCACUAGGCGUGCUAGUUUAAAAAUAUUUCUGCGGCUGUUUCGAGUGAACAGAAUUUGCGAACUUUCAUAGCUAAAAAUGAUUUUUCCAAGCUAAAAUUGCAAGUUGAUUCACGAAAUAACAUUCGUGAAUCAAAAUAAUCAUAAUUAGCUUUUAUUUCUAUCUUCAAUUCCUUUUGUAAAGAAUCUUUUAUUCUUAAUGAUCGCGUUUAAAAUCAAGGAAUUAUUCUAAACUUGGAAAAUAAUGGAGAGAAAGAAAGUAGUAAAAUUAUUUUCUUUAAAGUUGGAAACAAAUGAGCUUAAAUUAUCUCAUUAAAUGAUACAAAUUCUUCUUCAUUCGAAUUCCAUUCACUCGAAGUAAAGGACGAAUAUUGCACACCUUUUGCUUUUUUGUGUAUUUGCACGCACCAGUGUUAUGUAUAUACAAUCCAUCAAAAAAGUCUCUGCAUUUGGUUAAAAAAUAUUUAACAUUAUAGAAUUUCUGCACAAAAUAAUAUUUACAUAAUACUUAAAUUAAAAGGGAGGAAAAGUCACUUAUUACAGUCACAUAAUAAUCUUAUCAAAAAAUCUAUCUCCUGUUUUAAAUAUCAUCACGACAAAAAAUUUUGAUUACGAUAAUUCUAAAUCGAUAACACUAAUGUACAGUACCGAGCAUGGUAGGUUUCUCUAGGGAAAAUGACAAUUACCCCUUUCCUCGUACAUCUCUCCGAGUUUACGGGUUCCGGGGUUCCCGAUCCACCUCAAAGGCUCUCCCUCACCCCGAACACCCAUCUGUCCUCUAACGCCAUUUUUCGUUAAAACUUUAUCGAACCAUACAGAAAUUUUUUCGAUGGAUUGUAAUUAUUGAAUGGUUUGGAACCACGUGCUUAUGAAAAAUAUUUAAAAAGUGCGUGGUUAAUUAUAUAUAUAUAAUAUAUAUAUAUAUAUAUAUAUAACAUUUAUGUAUGUAUAUAAGUAUUGCCGAAAAUAUGAGUUUCAUACUAUAUAUGUAUAUGUAUAAUUAAUAAUGUAGAAGGAUUGUGAAAUUGAUAUGUUAUCGAAGCAGUAAUAUUAUACGUAUCACAGUGCUGUGAUUGAGAAUUAUAAUAAAUAUUAUUCUGUUCUCUCUCCAUCUCUGAUACUGUUUCUUUUUUUACAGUUUCGCUUCGCCCUCGACCUAUCUUAAUUUCUGUUGAAUUUUGAUAUCAGCUAUUCAUUUCUUAUUUACCUGACAAAAGUUUUCACAAACGCGUUGAAACUGAGAGAGAAGACGUAAAGAAUUCGCUUUUCAACUCUUCAUGUAUGAAUCUUACGCGUUAUACAUCGUUUUUUUUUUUUUUUAAUGUAAGGUGAAUUAUAAAGUAGUGGUCAAAUGAAACUUUUAUUCAUUCCGUCAAACGUAGAUUUCUGAUCAUUUAUGUACAUUAAUUUUCAAUUAAAAAAAAAAUAAUACAUGUCACUCUUAUGACACUGCACUUUGUGCAAUGAUAUUUUUAAAUUACACUAAUCUUUCGCUAUUUUUUAUGUACAGUAGUUGACACUAAAGAAGAUCAAGAAAAUUGUUGUUUCACUGAAAUAAUUUCAUUUUUUAACAAAUUAAUACAUCGCUUUUUGUUUCAAAUUUUUGUAAUAGUACGAAAUGUACAAGAAAUGCCUCUUAUAAAAUUUCUAACGCGUAUCAAAAUAUAUUUAAAGCUAUAAAUAACAAUUUUACACACUUCACCCUACACGUGUAUAACGUCCAAGAUUCACAUAUGUAUGUUAUACAUAUGUAUAUAGAUAUAAUAUAUAAUAUAUUAUCCGUAUCUUUCCUAUUUCUUAAAAGAAUAAGAAUUAAAUAUCCAUUCCCGAAAAAUAUUUCGUUCUAUUAAUUCAUUAGUAAAUUCCUAAUUAUAAUUUCUAGAUUGUCCAUAGUUGCUUUUUAAAACCUAUCUAUAUACCCUGGGUACGAAACACAAUAAAUUCCUUGUUGAUCAGCUGCCAAGAGUGCUUGGCACAUUUUGACUCGUCUACGUUUCUUUUCUCUUUUUUAAUUAUUUUUUGCGAAAUUCGUACCGAUGAUUUCGCAGCGUAUCAAAAAAUGUAUACAUCUACACAUACCCUCCCGUACGAAUAAAUUUAAUCGUAAUCCUUAUGAAUUAGCAUAGUAUCCCUUUAAUUUUUGGUCUCACUUUGAAUAACUUACGCCUAAAUAUUGUCUCGUUAGAAAACUAAAUUUUCUGUUUCACAAAAGAAGUAACAUUUCACUUUCCUUUCCUUUGUCCUUCGCUCUCUCAUCUCACGCUUUAAAAUACGGACAAGUAUAUUUUUUAACCCGCGACGUUCAUAGGAGUUUUGCGUAAGCAACGACAAUUCCUUGAAAUACAUUAGAAGAAAUGAUACGUUUGAAGUAUCUUAAGAUUUCUCACGAAAUUUGUAUCUACAUUCAAACACUGUGAACGAUAGGAAAAUAAAAUUUGACUUUUUAGAUUACACGAGCAAGAAACAUGAAAAAUAAAUGUUCUGAAUGUAGAUACACAGCGGUACGGUAUUCGCGUUUUAAAUACAUUUCCUCGAGGACUGCACUUGCAAAGCGCCAUUGAAAAACACGAUCGUAGAAAUAAUUCAAACCUUAAGAAGUAAAAAAAAGCAGUAACGCGCAUCGUUACAUGUUAUUCUGUUACAAGCGUUUAAUAUCAGGUUAGUCUGUGUCGCUGUUAUCUACUCCUAUCAUCGUUCUUAAAUAUUUACAAAAUUCUGCGAUGGCGACAACACGAGCCAUCCGUUUAUCAAUUCCGUAUUUCACAAUUUGUUUCAAUCUAAAGAUAAUUAAGAAAAAAAAAAAAAAAAAAAACGUUAACCCCUCAAACCGACUACC